rnacentral:rRNA from 1 species
UAGUUGAAAUGUAAAGAGUAGCGUUUUCGGUCUUGAACACGGCACCAGUUAAAAUCUGGCAGCUUCGCUGUCCGAGUUGUAAUUUAGAGAAGUGUUGCCCUUGCUGGACCGUGUACAAGUUUCCUGGAACGGAACGUCAUAGAGGGUGAGAAUCCCGUCUUGAAACACGGACCACAGUAUGUUGUGGUGCGCUCUCGAAGAGUCGUGUUGUUUGGGAAUGCAGCACUAAAUGGGUGGUAAAUUCCAUCUAAAGCUAAAUAUUGGCGAGAGACCGAUAGCAAACAAGUACCGUGAGGGAAAGAUGAAAAGAACUUUGGAAAGAGAGUUAAACAGUACGUGAAAUUGUUGAAAGGGAAACGCUUGAAGUCUAGUCGCAUCGGUUGGGGAUCAGUCUUGCUUCUGCUUGAUGUAUGUCACAAUCGAUGGGUCAGCAUCAGUUUUGACCGUUGGAUAAAGGUCAGGGGAAUGUGGCAUCCUCGGAUGUGUUAUAGCCUCUGGUUGUAUACAACGGUUGGGACUGAGGAACUCAGCACGCCGCAAGGCCGGGUACUUGUACCACGUUCGUGCUUAGGAUGCUGGCAUAAUAGCUUUAAUCGACCCGUCUUGAACCACGGACC